rnacentral:rRNA from 1 species
GACGAACGCUGGCGGCGUGCCUAAUACAUGCAAGUCGAGCGAAGCGGGGACGGGUGAGUAACACGUGGAUAACCUCCUAUAAGACUGGGAUAACUUUGGGAAACCGGAGCUAAACCGGAUACUUAGAGAUGGAUCUGCGCUGCAUUAGCUAGUUGGUAAGGUAACGGCUUACCAAGGCAACGAUUCAUAGCCGACCGGAGAGGGUGCUCGGCCACCCGGGGACGGAGACACGGCCCAGACUCCUACGGGAGGCAGCGUUGGGGAAUCUUCGGCAAGGGACGAAAGUCUGACCGGGAAACGCGGCGUGAGUGAAGAGGGUUUUCGGAUCGUAAAACUCUGUUGUUAGAGAAGCGGUAUCUAACCAGAAAGCCACGGCUAACUACGUGCCAGCAGCCGCGGUAAUAC